rnacentral:lncRNA from 1 species
AGAAGACUGCUUUAUCCCUAGAAGGCAAGGAUAUCUCUAUGAAAAAACUGACAGAGCCCAGUUCCCUUGCCAGAAUCCUGAAUAUUUGAGUCAAGAUUCCAAGAACUCCUCAUCUACCAUUGCAAGUAUAGGGACAAUGUUGCAUAUCUCAGUGGAACAGCCUAAGAUUUGAAGUCAAUAGGAAACUGAGCUUGACAUAGGAUCUGAACACUCAAAUAUCAACACAACCUCCA